GACAGAGGCCUCGAGCGUUAGGCGGAAUCACUGGGCCUAAAGCGUGUGUAGGCGGGCCCGUAAGUGUCUUGUGAAAUCCCACGGCUCAACCGUGGAGCUGCUGGGCAUACUGCGGGUCUUGGGCCAACUAGGGGCAGCCGGAACAAGCGGUGGAGCGGUGAAAUGCGUAGAUAUCGCUUGGAACGCCGAAGGUGAAAACAGGCUGCUGGGGUUGCGCCGACGCUGAGACACGAAAGCCAGGGGAGCAAACGGG
rnacentral:rRNA from 1 species